GCCAGCUUAGCUCAGAGGUCAGAGCAUUGCAUUUCUAAUGUGAUAGCCAUCGGUUCGAUUCCGAUAGCUGGCU